rnacentral:rRNA from 1 species
GACGGGGCGGCGUGCCUACACAUGCAAGUCGAACGGGGUAUAUAAGCGGAAGUUUACGGAUGGAAGGUUAUAUACUUAGUGGCGGACGGGUGAGUAACGCGUGGGCAACCUGCCCCGUGCCGGGGGAUACCGCCUGGAAACAGGCGCUAAUACCGCAUAAGCGCAUACAGCCGCAUGGGUGUAUGCGGAAAGCUCCGGCGGCACGGGAUGGGCCCGCGCCCGAUUAGCCAGUUGGCGGGGUAACGGCCCACCAAAGCGACGAUCGGUAGCCGGCCUGAGAGGGCGGACGGCCACAUUGGGACUGAGACACGGCCCAAACUCCUACGGGAGGCAGCAGUGGGGAAUAUUGCACAAUGGGGGAAACCCUGAUGCAGCAACGCCGCGUGGGUGAAGGAGCGUUUCGGCGCGUAAAGCCCUGUCAGCGGGGAAGAAGAAAGACGGUACCCGACCAAGAAGCCCCGGCUAACUACGUGCCAGCAGCCGCGGUAAUACGUAGGGGGCGAGCGUUAUCCGGAAUUACUGGGUGUAAAGGGAGCGUAGACGGCGAGGUAAGCCUGAAGUGGAAGCCCGCGGCCCAACCGCGGAACUGCUUUGGGAACUGUUUUGCUGGAGUAUGGGAGGGGUAAGCGGAAUUCCUGGUGUAGCGGUGAAAUGCGUAAAUAUCAGGAGGAACACCGGUGGCGAAGGCGGCUUACUGGACCAUAACUGACGUUGAGGCUCGAAAGCGUGGGGAGCGAACAGGAUUAGAUACCCUGGUAAUCCACGCCGUUAACGAUGAUUUACAGGUGUCGGGUGUCGAA